CAUUCCGAAAAUCCGACAAACUAAAUAUCCGGCCAAAUUCCGGCGACCACCCCGAACACCCUCGUUUGAUUCUUGAUGAUAAUAAGAAGGAUUUGAUCCCGGUUUGGUUGAUGGAACAUAUUAGAUCUGAUUUUGUUUCAAGAUGAAUGUUAUAUUAGUGUUAUCAUCAUGUAAAUCUGUUAAAAAUUAGUUAAAUUAUCGUUUUCUUCUUUA